AAUUAAGCACUGCAUGUCUAAGUAUAAGCAAUUAUACAGCGAAACUGCGAAUGGCUCAUUAUAUAAGUUAUCGUUUAUUUGAUAGUACCUUACUACUUGGAUAACCGUGGUAAUUCUAGAGCUAAUACAUGCUAAAAAUCCCGACUUCGGAAGGGAUGUAUUUAUUAGAUUAAAAACCAAUGCCCUCUGGGCUCCUUGGUGAUUCAUGAUAACUUCUCGAAUCGCACGGCCUUGCGCCGGCGAUGGUUCAUUCAAAUUUCUUCCCUAUCAACUUUCGAUGUUUGGGUAGUGGCCAAACAUGGUUGCAACGGGUAACGGAGGGUUAGGGCUCGACCCCGGAGAAGGAGCCUGAGAAACGGCUACUACAUCCAAGGAAGGCAGCAGGCGCGCAAAUUACCCAAUCCCGAUUCGGGGAGGUAGUGACAAUAAAUACUGAUACAGGGCUCUUUUGGGUCUUGUAAUUGGAAUGAGUACAAUUUAAAUCCCUUAACGAGGAACAAUUGGAGGGCAAGUCUGGUGCCAGCAGCCGCGGUAAUUCCAGCUCCAAUAGCGUAUAUUAAAGUUGUUGUGGUUAAAAAGCUCGUAGUUGAACCUUGGGCCUGGCUGGCCGGUCCGCCUCACCGCGUGUACUGGUCCGGCCGGGCCUUUCCCUCUGUGGAACCCCAUGCCCUUCACUGGGCGUGGCGGGGAAACAGGACUUUUACUUUGAAAAAAUUAGAGUGCUCCAGGCAGGCCUAUGCUCGAAUACAUUAGCAUGGAAUAAUGAAAUAGGACGUGCGGUUCUAUUUUGUUGGUUUCUAGGACCGCCGUAAUGAUUAAUAGGGACAGUCGGGGGCAUCAGUAUUCAAUUGUCAGAGGUGAAAUUCUUGGAUUUAUUGAAGACUAACUACUGCGAAAGCAUUUGCCAAGGAUGUUUUCAUUAAUCAGGAACGAAAGUUAGGGGAUCGAAGACGAUCAGAUACCGUCGUAGUCUUAACCAUAAACUAUGCCGACUAGGGAUCGGACGAUGUUAAAUUUUGACUCGUUCGGCACCUUACGAGAAAUCAAAGUGCUUGGGCUCCAGGGGGAG
rnacentral:rRNA from 2 species